rnacentral:snoRNA from 1 species
AGAGUUGCUAUGAUGAAAAACAGUGUUUCGGACUAGAGUAUCCGAGCUACUUCGUGGCGUUGAAGAUACAACUCUUGGCUGUCUGAGCUCAACUCU